rnacentral:tRNA from 1 species
AAUAAAGUGCCUGAUAAAAGGAUUAUUCUGAUAGGAUAAAUUAUGUAAAGAAAAUUUACCUUUAUUA